UACAAUACAAUUAUACAAUACAAUAUGGAUACUAAAAGAAUUUCUACUCUCACAAUGGUGUUUCUAUUGGCUUUCUUUGUUAUUGCAUCAGAUAUGUGUCAAGAAUCUGAAGGAGCAAGUGGAUACUAUUCAGGUUACGCAUGUAAAUCAGAUGGAGUAUGUCUACCCAAUUGUCCUAGAG